rnacentral:rRNA from 1 species
GGACUGAGACACGGCCCAGACUCCUACGGGAGGCAGCAGUGGGGGAUAUUGCGCAAUGGGGGCAACCCUGACGCAGCAACGCCGCGUGAAGGAUGAAGGUUUUCGGAUUGUAAACUUUUUUAUUAAGGACGAAAAAUGACGGUACUUAAUGAAUAAGCUCCGGCUAACUACGUGCCAGCAGCCGCGGUAAUACGUAGGGAGCAAGCGUUGUCCGGAUUUACUGGGUGUAAAGGGUGCGUAGGCGGCUUUGCAAGUCAGAUGUGAAAUCUAUGGGCUCAACCCAUAAACUGCAUUUGAAACUGUAGAGCUUGAGUGAAGUAGAGGCAGGCGGAAUUCCCCGUGUAGCGGUGAAAUGCGUAGAGAUGGGGAGGAACACCAGUGGCGAAGGCGGCUUGCUGGGCUUUAACUGACGCUGAGGCACGAAAGCGUGGGUAGCAAACAGGAUUAGAUACCCUGGUAGUCCACGCUGUAAACGAUGAUUACUAGGUGUGGGGGGUCUGACCCCUUCCGUGCCGGAGUUAACACAAUAAGUAAUCCACCUGGGGAGUACGGCCGCAAGGUUGAAACUCAAAGGAAUUGACGGGGGCCCGCACAAGCAGUGGAGUAUGUGGUUUAAUUCGAAGCAACGCGAAGAACCUUACCAGGUCUUGACAUCCAACUAACGAAGUAGAGAUACAUUAGGUGCCCUUCGGGGAAAGUUGAGACAGGUGGUGCAUGGUUGUCGUCAGCUCGUGUCGUGAGAUGUUGGGUUAAGUCCCGCAACGAGCGCAACCCUUGCUAUUAGUUGCUACGCAAGAGCACUCUAAUAGGACUGCCGUUGACAAAACGGAGGAAGGUGGGGACGACGUCAAAUCAUCAUGCCCCUUAUGACCUGGGCUACACACGUACUACAAUGGAUGUUAACAGAGGGAAGCAAGACAGUGAUGUGGAGCAAACCCCUAAAAACAUUCUCAGUUCAGAUUGCAGGCUGCAACCCGCCUGCAUGAAGAUGGAAUUGCUAGUAAUCGCGGAUCAGAAUGCCGCGGUGAAUACGUUCCCGGGCCUUGUACACACCGCCCGUCACACCAUGGGAGCCGGUAAUACCCGAAGUCAGUAGUCCAACCUCGUGAGGACGCUGCCGAAGGUAGGAUUGGCGACUGGGGUGAAGUCGUAACAAGGUAACCGUACUAGUACGAUUAGCGA